AUGGCCAUGGAUUUGGACGAGACGCUUGCCGCGGAGAAGGGCGAGGUGGCGCUGCAGCAGCUGCGGCGCGCCGACCCGUCCGUCUACCUCGCCCCGUCCGCCGACCUCGCCGCCGCCGCCCGGGCGGCUCUGAAGCACUUCCACUCCUCGCUCUCCGUUGUCUCCCCCGUGCAGCCGCCGCCCCUCCCCAACCUCCUCGCCGGCCCCAACUUCGACGCCGAGCAGAUUUGGUCCCAGAGCGAGCUGCUCUCCCGCCCCCUCCUCCCCCACCUCCACCGCCAGCUCCGCCGCCUCGAGCACCAACCGCCUGCGCAGCCGUCGGCUGCUCCUCCGCCGUCCAAGCCCGCUGAAGCCGAGGAGGACCCGUCAGACGAGGAGGAGGAUGGAGAGGGUGACGAAUCGGAGGAGGAGGAUGCGGGUGGCCUGGAGGACACGAAUGACGAGUUGGAAUCGGAGGAGGGGGAGGAUGAAGAAACGGAGGAGCUAGGGGCGAAGGCAGGGAACGGGGUGGAGGACAGGUUCCUGAAGAUGAAGGACCUGGAAAAGUUUAUGGAGGAGGGGGAGGAGCAGGAGUACGGUGGGGGUUCCAAGGGAGGAGAGAAGAAAAAGGCAAAUGUGAACUUGAUGGAGGACGAUAGUGAUGAGGAGGAUGUGGAUGAAGAUGAUGGGGGUGAUGAUGAAGAUGACGAUUUGGAUUUGGAAGAUUUUGAGUCUGAUGAUGAAGAGGGUGCAGGGAAAUCCGGCGGAGAUCUAAAGUAUGAGGAUUUUUUUGAGGAAAGCCGUAAGCAACAAGUCAAGAAGAGAAAUGGUUUCACAAAGAAAGUCCACUUCAAGGAUGAAUUGCAUGAAAUGGAAGUGGAUGACAUUGAGAAGGAUGAUGUAAAUGAUGGUCCAGCAUUAGAGGAUGAACAAGGUCUUUCAACUCAUGAAAAGGGGCUCUUGAAGAUGCGUAACCAAAUAGACCUAAUGGAGAAAGCUAGUCUUGAACCCAGUAAAUGGAUCAUGCAGGGAGAGGUUGAUGCUUCCAGGAGGCCCAAAAAUAGUGCCCUGGAAGUGGAUCUUGAUUUUGAGCAUAAUGUAAGACCUGCCCCAGUAAUCACGGAGGAAGUCACAGCUUCUCUCGAGGAGAUGAUAAAGAAAAGAAUUGCGGAGGGUCAUUUUGAUGAUGUUGAGAAGCCUUCAACCUUGCCGUAUAAAGCUCCAAAGCAGCAAAAGGAGAUGGAUGAAAACAAGAGCAAAAAGGGUCUUGCUGAACAUUAUGAGGAUGAGUUUAAGGAAAAAACUGGCAUUGCACCUGCCACACUUGCUAUUUCAGAUGAACUGAAGAAUGAGGCAAAUGAUUUGUUUAAGAGGAUAUGCUUGAAGUUGGAUGCGCUCUCUCAUUUCCACUUUGCCCCAAAGCCGGUCAUUGAGGAUAUGUCUAUACAAGUUAAUGUACCUGCUCUAGCAAUGGAAGAGGUUGCACCUGUAGCUGUUUCAGAUGCCGCAAUGCUCGCUCCUGAAGAAGUUUUUGAAGGGAAAGGUGAUAUUAAAGAAGACGCGGAGCUUACACAAGCUGAGCGCAAAAGAAGGAGAGCCAACAAGAAGAGGAGAUAUGCAGAAUCGCACAAGGAGAGGCCAACCAAGCUGCGGAAAGAAAACUCAGUUGCGAACAUAUAG
rnacentral:rRNA from 1 species